GUAGGUGAACCUGCGGAAGGAUCAUUAACACGUAUCCUUACGUUUAACCACCCGUGCACCUUCAUUGGAGACUUGCAACCCCCCGCCGGGGGCAAGUAUCCCAAACCGCGUUCACCUGUGGCGAAAUGACGACGAACGGUAAAACGUUGAAGAAUCGUCAGAAGCGGCAAGUCUAAAUAAGGAGAUUCGGAUUGCAGUGGGGAGUUGAAGCCCUUGGAAAUGGCCCUGGAAUCGCAAAUUGAGGCGAAUU
rnacentral:misc_RNA from 1 species